UGGGGAAUUUUGCACAAUGGGGGAAACCCUGAUGCAGCGACGCCGCGUGAGCGAAGAAGGUUUUCGAAUCGUAAAGCUCUGUCCUAUGAGAAGAUAAUGACGGUAUCAUAGGAGGAAGCCCCGGCUAAAUACGUGCCAGCAGCCGCGGUAAUACGUAUGGGGCGAGCGUUGUCCGGAAUUAUUGGGCGUAAAGGGUACGUAGGCGGUCUAUUAAGUCAGGUGUGAAAGCGUGAGGCUUAACCUCAUUAAGCACUUGAAACUGAUAGACUUGAGUGAAGGAGAGGGAAGUGUAAUUCCUAGUGUAGCGGUGAAAUGCGUAGAUAUUAGGAGGAAUACCGGUGGCGAAGGCGACUUUCUGGACUUUUACUGACGCUCAGGUACGAAAGCGUGGGGAGCAAACAGG
rnacentral:rRNA from 1 species